UUAAUCAAUGCGGAUUGGUCGAACUAAGAGAUCACGUGAUUUCUACAGCGAUACACAGAUCGCGCUGCUAUCGAUUGCUGGAUUUUCGUCGAAUUAAAAAACAGAAUGAAUGCAUCCUUAUUUCUACGUGUCUCAUCACAGUUAAGACCGAGUUUUGCCAGAAACUUGAAUUGUUGGACAGCAGCUAUAACAAAAAAACACCAGAAAGUUUUUGUGAAUAUGUAUCCUACUAUUCUCGUUCUUCCUGAUGGCAGUAGCAUAAACAUUGAAUAUAAUAUGCCAAGAAAAAUAAUUGUUCUUCCGUUAAACAUUGCCGAACUUUCAGAGGAAGAACAAAAGCUUAAAAUUGAAACACGCAAACCAAAGACUAAGGUUGUUCUAAUGGAUGAGAUACUACAAGAUGACUUUGAUGAAUUUAAAUAUGUUAAUAUGAAGAAGCGAUAAUUUAAACUAUUUUUAUAGUUGUAUAUUUUAUACAUCGAUCAAAAUAACGAAGAAAGAAUUGACGUAAAGUAUGACAAAUUGCUGUACUUUUGUCUUCGUGUGCAUAUAAAAAAAUGCAAUAAAGUAUUUGCUGGAUGA
rnacentral:misc_RNA from 1 species